rnacentral:lncRNA from 1 species
CGCGGGAAAACACGUUACUUGUGCGGCGCAGGUAAAAAGAAAAAUAAAUGGGGUCAGCAGUUUUGAGUGAAAAGAAAUUCGAGUGAACUCCGGUUUUAGCAGCCAGAUAAAAAGGAGAGAUUUUAGAGGAGAUGUUGUACUUGUUGGUGAAUCAUGUAGCCUUAAAGAACUCUUCACACAAAAAGAUAUUAAAAUAUACCCAAAGGAUUCCAAUUUACACAAAGAUGUUAAAUAUGACCAAAGGAUCCCAAAUUUAGAAGAACAACAUUUAGUGAUAUAAUUUGUAAGUAGGCUUGGAAGAGGAUGGGUAGAUAUGUAUCUGUCGU